rnacentral:rRNA from 1 species
UGUUUCGGCUAGGGGGCCAUCCCGGCUUACCAACCCGAUGCAAACUGCGAAUACCGGAGAAUGUUAUCACGGGAGACACACGGCGGGUGCUAACGUCCGUCGUGAAGAGGGAAACAACCCAGACCGCCAGCUAAGGUCCCAAAGUCAUGGUUAAGUGGGAAACGAUGUGGGAAGGCCCAGACAGCCAGGAUGUUGGCUUAGAAGCAGCCAUCAUUUAAAGAAAGCGUAAUAGCUCACUGGUCGAGUCGGCCUGCGCGGAAGAUGUAACGGGGCUAAACCAUGCACCGAAGCUGCGGCAGCGACGCUGAUGCGUUGUUGGGUAGGGGAGCGUUCUGUAAGCCUGUGAAGGUGGCCUGUGAGGGUUGCUGGAGGUAUCAGAAGUGCGAAUGCUGACAUAAGUAACGAUAAAGCGGGUGAAAAGCCCGCUCGCCGGAAGACCAAGGGUUCCUGUCCAACGUUAAUCGGGGCAGGGUGAGUCGACCCCUAAGGCGAGGCCGAAAGGCGUAGUCGAUGGGAAACGGGUUAAUAU